UCAGCGGUGGACUCUCGCCUGUCUUCUCUGUGGGAUCACGGCAUAGUUCCAUGAUCUUAGUAGAGGGCAGACAUGAGCCAGCCUAAAGAAACCUGCACCACUGUGAUUUCCAGAGGGCUGCAUUAUUCCUGUAAGAUGAGAAACAGACAGCCUAUUUUGGCUUUUGCAUGGUGAUCAAGCCUCUGUUGUAUUUCAUCUGCAAGUCUUCUCAUUAGGAGGGGCUUUUUCAUUGUCUGCUGCUGGAUGGAACAGCCUCUUGCCACAGAUUAUUUGGCUGCCAGGGAUUUCAAAGAGCACAAGAGACUUCAGAGAGCUGCUACAAGGCUCAGGAUGAAGGGAGGCAGUGAGAUAAAGAGCCCAGCCAUCUUUCACUGACACCCACCUCUGGGGUCUCAGGUAUGGUUCUAUCUCCUAAGGAAUGCUCAACAACGCACCAGAUUUUAUUCCAAUCUCCAUGGGACCCGAUUCUGGUA
rnacentral:lncRNA from 1 species